rnacentral:rRNA from 1 species
CUUCUGUGCUGGCCCCGGCAUGUGCACGUUGGUGACUUUCAUCCAAUACCCUUUUGUGAACCUUUGGCCUCAUGCUGGCUUUGGCUGGCAGAGGAUUUACACAAACUCGAAUGUAACAGAAAGAUCUUGUUGUGCGCAAGCACUAAUGUACAACUUUCAACAACGGAUCUCUUGGCUCUCGCAUCGAUGAAGAACGCAGCGAAAUGCGAUAAGUAAUGUGAAUUGCAGAAUUCAGUGAAUCAUCGAAUCUUUGAACGCACCUUGCACCCAUUGGUAUUCCAAAGGGUAUGCUCGUUUGAGUGUCAUUGUACUCUCACACUCUACUAUUAGAGAAGUGGACUUGGGUGUUGCUGCUUCGCUGUGGCUCAUCUCAAAUAUGCUAGUGCAACUCAUGGUUGGAUAUAGUACAGCGUGAUAAGUAUCUUCGCUGGCGCCUCAUGAAGAGGGUGUCCGAUUGGGAGCUCUGCGCUUCGAACAGUCCCAUCUGGGACAAUCUCUGACAACUUGGCCUCAAAUCGAGUAGGACUACCCGCUGAACCUAAGCAUAUCAAUAAGCGGAGGAAAAGAAACUAGCAAGGAUUCCCCUAGUAACGGCGAGUGAAGAGGGAAGAGCUCAAAUUUUGAAUCUGGCAUCUUUGGUGUCUGAGUUGUAAUCUAGAGAAGUGCUUUCUGCGGCGGACCGUGCACAAGUCUCCUGGAAUGGGGCAUCAUAGAGGGUGAGAAUCCCGUAUAUGGCAUGGACUCUCGUCGCUCUGUGAAAUACUCUCAACGAGUCGAGUUGUUUGGGAAUGCAGCUCUAAAUGGGUGGUAAAUGCCAUCUAAAGCUAAAUAUUGGCGAGAGACCGAUAGCGAACAAGUACCGUGA